GUGAAUCAUCGAAUCUUUGAACGCAAAUUGCACUUCCUAGCAUCCCGGGAAGUAUGCCUGUUUGAGGGUCAGUAUUAACAAAAAAAUCGGUGUCGUUGCAAUUUGUGACGUUUCCGGUGGUUGGUCUAUCUUAACUUUAUUGGUUAAGCGGCUUAAAAUUGACUUUUUUUGCUCAUUUUUAGGCGUACAUAAAUUUUUUUUUUUUUCUUCUGUUCUUAA
rnacentral:misc_RNA from 1 species